rnacentral:rRNA from 1 species
AGUGAACGCUGGCGAUAGGCCUAACACAUGCAAGUCGAACGGCAGCACAGUAAGAGCUUGCUCUUACGGGUGGCGAGUGGCGGACGGGUGAGGAAUACAUCGGAAUCUACUUUUUCGUGGGGGAUAACGUAGGGAAACUUACGCUAAUACCGCAUACGACCUACGGGUGAAAGCAGGGGAUCUUCGGACCUUGCGCGAUUGAAUGAGCCGAUGUCGGAUUAGCUAGUUGGCGGGGUAAAGGCCCACCAAGGCGACGAUCCGUAGCUGGUCUGAGAGGAUGAUCAGCCACACUGGAACUGAGACACGGUCCAGACUCCUACGGGAGGCAGCAGUGGGGAAUAUUGGACAAUGGGCGCAAGCCUGAUCCAGCCAUACCGCGUGGGUGAAGAAGGCCUUCGGGUUGUAAAGCCCUCUUGUUGGGAAAGAAAAGCAGCAGGUUAAUACCCCGCUGUUCUGACGGUACCCAAAGAAUAAGCACCGGCUAACUUCGUG